UAAUAAAAGUUGUCUGAUGUUUUUAUUUUCACAGACUUGUUAAAGCUUCUCCAGAAGAAAUUUUACUGUCACAGGCUCAAUGGGAGCCAGCAUGACUGGAAAAACCAUCUGGUUUGACGUAGCAAGGAAAAAUUUGUGCCUGGCAAUUUUAUGGGGCAAGUAUAUUUUAUUCAAGAUAGAGGAGACCUGCGCUCCAAACAAGCGAGCAUUAUGACUUAUUCCUCACCUGAGCUCAUGAGCAGCACGGCCUGCAUCAGCGCCACCUCCGUGUCGUCCAGGUUAAACUGAGCCAGGCUCUUGCCCAGAUCAAAGAUGGCGUCCGACACCACGCCCAACCCGCCGUUC